GCCGGGCGUGGUGGCUCACGCCUGUAAUCCCAGCACUUUGGGAGGUCGAGGUGGGAGGAUCACCUGAGGUCAGGAGUUUGAGACCAGCCUGACCAACAUGGAGAAACCCCAUCUCUC
rnacentral:sRNA from 1 species